rnacentral:rRNA from 1 species
CUCAGAGUGAACGCUGGCGGUAGGCCUAACACAUGCAAGUCGAUCGGCAGCACAGGAGAGCUUGCUCUCUGGGUGGCGAGUGGCGGACGGGUGAGGAAUACAUCGGAAUCUACUCUGUCGUGGGGGAUAACGUAGGGAAACUUACGCUAAUACCGCAUACGACCUACGGGUGAAAGCAGGGGAUCUUCGGACCUUGCGCGAUUGAAUGAGCCGAUGUCGGAUUAGCUAGUUGGCGGGGUAAAGGCCCACCAAGGCGACGAUCCGUAGCUGGUCUGAGAGGAUGAUCAGCCACACUGGAACUGAGACACGGUCCAGACUCCUACGGGAGGCAGCAGUGGGGAAUAUUGGACAAUGGGCGCAAGCCUGAUCCAGCCAUACCGCGUGGGUGAAGAAGGCCUUCGGGUUGUAAAGCCCUUUUGUUGGGAAAGAAAUCCAGCUGGCUAAUACCUGGUUGGGAUGACGGUACCAAAGAAUAAGCACCGGCUAACUUCGUGCCAGCAGCCGCGGUAAUACGAAGGGUGCAAGCGUUACUCGGAAUUACUGGGCGUAAAGCGUGCGUAGGUGGUCGUUUAAGUCCGUUGUGAAAGCCCUGGGCUCAACCUGGGAACUGCAGUGGAUACUGGGCGACUAGAGUGUGGUAGAGGGUAGCGGAAUUCCUGGUGUAGCAGUGAAAUGCGUAGAGAUCAGGAGGAACAUCCAUGGCGAAGGCAGCUACCUG